rnacentral:rRNA from 1 species
GACGAACGCUGGCGGCGUGCCUAAUACAUGCAAGUAGAACGCUGAAGGAGGAGCUUGCUUCUCUGGAUGAGUUGCGAACGGGUGAGUAACGCGUAGGUAACCUGCCUGGUAGCGGGGAUAACUAUUGGAAACGAUAGCUAAUACCGCAUAAGAGUAGAUGUUGCAUGACAUUUGCUUAAAAGGUGCAAUUGCAUCACUACCAGAUGGACCUGCGUUGUAUUAGCUAGUUGGUGGGGUAACGGCUUACCAAGGCGACGAUACAUAGCCGACCUGAGAGGGUGAUAGGCCACACUGGGACUGAGACACGGCGCAGACGCCUACGGGAGGCAGCAGUAGGGAAUCUGAGGAAAUGGACGGAAGUCUGAACGAGAAACGCAGCGUGAGUGAAGAAGGUUGUCGGAUCGGAAAGCUCUGUUGUAAGAGAAGAACGAGUGUGAGAGUGGAAAGUUCACACUGUGACGGUAUCUGACCAGAAAGGGACGGCUAACUACGUG